rnacentral:rRNA from 1 species
CACGUAUUAGCCGGUGCUUAUUCUUCAGUGUACCUGUCAUUCCCGGACUGUGUUAGAGCCGGUGUUUCUUCCCUGACAAAAGAGCUUUACAACCCUGAAGGCCUUCUUCACUCACGCGGCAUUGCUGGAUCAGGGUUUCCCCCAUUGUCCAAAAUUCCCCACUGCUGCCUCCCGUAGGCCCCCCGUGCCCCCGCCCCGCCCGCCGCGCGCGGCGGGA